GUUGGUAAGGGAUCUUGGUUUUUGUGAAAUUGACAGUGAGUCCAAGCAUUUAAUAAGCUUCACAGAAGCCACAGAGAGCAACUA